UUAUGAAUGUUCAGAAUAAUAUUUCAUUGAGUUUAUGUUAACUAAUGAAGCCCUAAUUUAAAGUGUGAACGAACAAUAAAUAAUCAAAACACUUUCAAACAAUAACUAGAGCAUGUAGUCUAGAUUAAAAUGAAAAUAGCCUAUUUAGUCUAAAUAUUUAAGUAUUUGCCGCUGUGAUGAACAACAUAUUGAAUCCACAAAAUCUGAAUGGCUAUUUAAAAUUAUUUAAAUAUGUUUUAGAAAGUAGCAGCUGCUUUAUUUAUGGGAUAUCCAGGGUAAGGGCUACAUUUUCUGCAGUUUAGCGCCAUCUGCUGUCAGAGAGUGAAUGUGCUUUUAUUCAUCGCGUGUUCCCCCAUGUGCUUCUCAUGUAUGCUUGUUUACAUCAGAGCGGCACAUGGGUCUUUCAAGCAGCAUACAGUAGUGUUGUGCAUGUUGACCAGUUGAUGGGAAAAUUAUUAUUUUAAUGCAUUCCAGAUUCUGAAUAAUUGACAAAUACUGACAAAUUUCUAGAAUCCACUAUUGAGUUGGUUUAUUGUUUACAUGUUUCCCCUUCAGAAUUUGUUUGGUGCAGCAUUCUAUAUGUAUGUAAAUAUGUAAAUAUGCUUGGGCUGUUAUAAAUGUAAAAAAAAAAACGAAAAAAAAAAUUAUAUAGUAUAGAGUUGUUUGAGGUGGGAAUAAAUUAAAUGCGAUCUGCGAUGACAUCAUAAUAGUGAUGCAUUGUGUUCACAGAGCGGCCUGAAGUUUGCAUAUGAAGCCAACUCGCUCCCCCUGUCAAAAUCAAGGUGCCGAGGGUAGCGAUGUCCAUGUAAACUUCCCUCGUCCACUUGACAAAGUGGAAUGCACUUUAAUAUGGCGGCUAAGGAGAUGGAGGGAGAAAGAGAUGAGAGGUUUGUCAGACCAUGACUCGGUGUGCAUGAAUGGACAGUUCGCUGAUAUAGUCAUCUGCUUCCAAUGUAGAGAAGAGCAAAGGGAGCCAUCCAUCGCUGGGCACGUGGACACAACCUUGUUAGUCUCUCUUCUCUUUUCACAGACACUCACACAGAAAGUAAGACAUACGCGAAUAAAUGGGAACUUGUCCAUGAGAAUAAGCUGGAAUCCCGUGAUAGGUUUUUCAUGCAUUUGGAUUGACAGAGUGUCUGAGACCUACAUAUAAUGAUUUUGAAACCCAGGCUGAACUGCUCAUGCACUGCACUGCAUUGUGCAUUAGACAUUAUUAGUCCUGCAAUGAGAUGACAAACGCUUGUGGAAAUGAUAGUUUUGUUCUCAUAGAGUAUCCCGAGUUUGUUCAAUAACUUGGAAGCGUGUAAAUUUAUGUUUAAUGAAAACAAUGCACUGUAAGACAGUUUACAUGAGUCAAACAUUAUGUCUGGUAUCCCAAAAGUCUUGGAAAUAAACUACUUUUUCCUGAUGUGA